rnacentral:rRNA from 1 species
UCCUACGGGAGGCAGCAGUUAGGAAUCUUGCGCAAUGGGCGAAAGCCUGACGCAGCCAUGCCGCGUGAAUGAUGAAGGUCUUAGGAUUGUAAAAUUCUUUCAGCGGGGACGAUAAUGACGGUACCCGCAGAAGAAGCUCCGGCUAACUUCGUGCCAGCAGCCGCGGUAAUACGAAGGGGGCUAGCGUUGCUCGGAAUUACUGGGCGUAAAGGGCGCGUAGGCGGACAUUUAAGUCAGAGGUGAAAGCCCAGGGCUCAACCUUGGAACUGCCUUUGAUACUGGGUGUCUAGAGUGCGGGAGAGGUGUGUGGAACUCCGAGUGUAGAGGUGAAAUUCGUAGAUAUUCGGAAGAACACCAGUGGCGAAGGCGACACACUGGCCCGUAACUGACGCUGAGGCGCGAAAGCGUGGGGAGCAAACAGGAUUAGAUACCCUGGUAGUCCACGCCGUAAACGAUGAGUGCUAGUUGUCGGCAUGCAUGCAUGUCGGUGACGCAGCUAACGCAUUAAGCACUCCGCCUGGGGAGUACGGUCGCAAGAUUAAAACUCAAAGGAAUGAC